CUGGCGGCGUGCUUAACACAUGCAAGUCAAGGGGGCCCAGCAAUGGGCAACCGGCGAACGGGUGCGUAACACGUGAGCAACCUACCGAACUGCGGGGGAUAGCCGGCCUAACGGCCGAGUAAUACCGCAUACGCUCUCAGUGAGGCAUUUCAUUGAGAGGAAACCUACGGGACAGAUCGAGGGGCUCGCGGCCUAUCAGCUAGUUGGCGAGGUAACGGCUCACCAAAGCAACGACGGGUAGCUGGUCUGAGAGGAUGGCCAGCCACAUUGGGACUGAGAUACGGCCCAGACUCCUACGGGAGGCAGCAGUAGGGAAUCUUGCGCAAUGGCCUAACGGCUGACGCAGCGACGCCGCGUGUGGGAUGAAGCUCUUCGGAGUGUAAACCACUGUUGCCCGGGACGAACAGCUCGAUUAAUCGAGCCUGACGGUACCGGGUGAGGAAGCACCGGCUAACUCCGUGCCAGCAGCCGCGGUAAUACGGGGGGUGCGAGCGUUGUCCGGAAUCACUGGGCGUAAAGGGCGCGUAGGUGGUUUGAUAAGGGUGUGGUGAAAGUCCGGGGCUCAACCCCGGAUCUGCCGUGCCGACUGUCAAACUCGAGGACUGUAGAGGCAGACGGAAUUCCGGGUGUAGCGGUGGAAUGCGUAGAGAUCCGGAGGAAGACCGGUGGCGAAGGCGGUCUGCUGGGCAGUUUCUGACACUGAGGCGCGACAGCG
rnacentral:rRNA from 1 species